AAACUUGCUUUUUCAGGGCCGAAAGGGUAUAAAGAAGGUGUCGGAAGUUUUCUUCCGACUAUGACAAUAAACGAUAGAUGAAAUAAGUGUAGUGGACCCGGGGGCAGUACCCGGCGCCUCCACCAUUAUUUUCUUCCGGUGCGCUUGCCGUGCGGAAAGAAGCUUAUGGGGGCGAAACAGGCUCGACACGCAUGGUAAAGAUCUAUUUUUUGUCCGGCAUUGUACCACCGUUAUCGGGCUAAACUUACAGGUGCCAACGAUAACUCUGAGGUGCUCGCUGUUGCUGCAUAAGCGAUAAGCGCGGUUCGGGAGGGCACCGGGCAACAGAAGCCCUCCCACU
rnacentral:tmRNA from 1 species